rnacentral:rRNA from 1 species
UACGGAGGGGGCUAGCGUUGUUCGGAAUUACUGGGCGUAAAGCGCACGUAGGCGGAUUGCUAAGUCGGGGGUGAAAUCCUGAGGCUCAACCUCAGAACUGCCUUCGAUACUGGCGAUCUCGAGUACGGGAGAGGUGAGUGGAAUUCCCAGUGUAGAGGUGAAAUUCGUAGAUAUUGGGAAGAACACCAGUGGCGAAGGCGGCUCACUGGCCCGUAACUGACGCUGAGGUGCGAAAGCGUGGGGAGCAAACAGG